rfam:Mus musculus chromosome 9, GRC primary reference assembly.
GUGAGAUGGCCUAGUGGGUAAGAGCACCGGACUGCUCUUCCGAAGGCCCUGAGUUCAAAUCCCAGCAAUCACA